rnacentral:rRNA from 1 species
GACGAACGCUGGCGGCGUGCUUAACACAUGCAAGUCGAACGGAAAGGCCCUGCUUUUGUUGGGUUCUCGAGUGGCGCACGGGUGAGUAACACGUGAGUAUCCUGCCCUUGUCUUUGUGAUAACUUCAGGAAACUGCGGCUAAUACCGCAUAUGAUCUCCUGCUGCAUGUUGGGGGUUGGAAAGUUUCGGCGGUUGGGGAUGUACUCGCGGCUUAUCAGCUUGUUGGUGGGGUAGUGGCUUACCAAGGAUUUGACGGGUAGCCGGACUGAGAGGGUGACCGGCCACAGAGGGACAGGGAAAAGGGCCAGAGGCAAACGGGAGGCAGGGGUGGGGAAUAGUGCACAAAGGGCGGAAGCAGGAUGCAGGAACGCCGCGUGCGGGAUGACGGCCUUCAGGGUGUAAAACGCUUGCGCGUGUGACGAAGCGUGAGUGAGGGUAAUGGGUAAAGAAGCACCGGCUAACUACGU